rnacentral:rRNA from 1 species
AGUAGUUUGAUCAGUGGCUCGAGGACGACGCUGGCGGCGCGCCUAACACAUGCAAGUCGAACGGGACUAGUGACCGGAGGAUAGAUGAAGUUUAUCUUGCGAUCACUAGUUCAGUGGCGGACGGGUGAGUAAAGCAUGAGCAACUUACCUGAUAGAGGGGGAUAGCUUUUGGAAACAGAAGAUAAUACCGCAUACUUCAAAAGUUUCGCAUGGAGUUUUUGGAAAAGGAGCAAUCCGCUAUCAGAUGGGCUCAUGUCCGAUUAGCUAGUUGGUGUGGUAAUGGCAUACCAAGGCGACGAUCGGUAGCCGUACUGAGAGGUUCAACGGCCACAUUGGGACUGAGACACGGCCCAGACUCC